rnacentral:lncRNA from 1 species
UUUUCAAGCUAUGAGUCGUUAAAAAUUGCCGAAAUUUGGUUACUUUGUUCAUGAAAAAACACAUAAGAGUGCAUAAAAAAAAAUCUAUGAGAUAGAUUUUUUAAAAUAAACUGUGAGAAGAAAGGUUUCAUAAUAUGUUUUAAGAAAAUAAAAAGAAAAUAUGGUGUCACCGAACUUGUUUUCUUGCCACAAGUAAAAAUUAAAAAUUUCCCUAUUAGCCCAGUAUAAAUUUUGUACUUAAAGAUUUAUCUCCCUUUAAAUGGCUCAUUUGAAAAAUAUGGUUUUAAAAACCAAAACGUUUGAUAUUUGUUAAAAUAUUUUUAAAAAUAUAAUAAAUUAAUAAGUUUU